rnacentral:lncRNA from 1 species
CAGUUAGCAUUAGUGUUUUAAACCCUAAACUGAACUUUUCCUUUAGUCAGCAUUAGGGUUUUAAACCCUAAACUGAAUUUUUUCCUGCAAUCAGCAUUAGGGUUUUAAACCCUAAACUGAACUUUUUUCCAUUCAGCCAGCAUUAGGGUUUUAAACCCUAAACUAAGCUUUUCCAUGCCAUCAUCAUUAGGGUUUUAAACCCUAAACUGAAUUUUUCCUAUAGUCAGCAUUAGGGUUUUAAACCCUAAACUGAACUUUUUUCCAUUCAGUCAGCAUUAGGGUUUUAAAACCUAAACUGAACUUUUUCCUUUAAUCAACAUUAGGGUUUUAAACCCUAAACUGAACUUUUUUCCAUUCAGUCUGCAUUAGGGUUUUAAACCCUAAACCGAACU